rnacentral:tRNA from 1 species
GCAUCCUUAGCUCAGUUGGAUAGAGCGACAGCCUUCUAAGCUGUAGGUCGUGAGUUCGAAUCUCUCAGGAUGCACCA